rnacentral:miRNA from 1 species
GCCCUUGGGAUGCGGAUUACC